AAGCCUUAAUAAUAGAAUAUCGCGAACAUUAGGUUGGCUUUGUCGAGGGAAUUCAGAUGAAUAUGGAUUGCACAGAUUUCCAACAAUAAACCGAAACUACACGAAAUUCGGAGUUCAUUGUAUGAUUACGAAAUCGAGUCGGUCAAUUUAGAUAAUCUCAUAAUUUUUCGCAUAAUCAUUUGGAUAAAAAUUACGUCACAUUCUGAAAUUAUUUAACUAUUCUUUUGUACAAUAACUCCCUUCGUGUAGGGACCAAUUAUAGUUUGCAGUUUUUCCAAUUUGACCUCGAAUGUCGUUCCAAUACCACAAAUUUUCUCGCCCAAGGAACCAAUUAUGGGUGCGCUAAAACUUUCGAAAUUCUUACCACAAAAUGUAAGACAUUUGAGACUGAAUGCAACGUAAUGUGAAUCGGGGAGUAAUAGUUUGUCAACCAUAGUCAGAACUCCUCUUUGAGGGAUUAGUCUUCAUACAAAGAAGCCCCGAGUACAAAUGACUGUCGUGUUUUUCACCAGGGUAGUCCGUAUCGAUUACCUUCUGUAUCAAGAAGAGAAUAUAUCUGGAUACCAUGUUUUAGUGAUGUUCAUUCAUUAUACAUUGCAGACAAUUAGUGCAACGAUUUUAUUACGGUUCUUCUCUCUAUUAAUCACUAAAUAUAUUUCAUUAUGUUAUUAUUCAUUGAUCAUAUCUGCAACAAUCGUCGUAGAAUUCCAGGAACAAAGAAGUGCAUAUGCAUGAACUUAUUGUUGGAUAUGAAAAAAUAAUGUUGUCUGCACGCACAAGCGAGAGCGUUAAUAUAGACUUGGAUUCGAGACCCCAUAAUGUUUAUGGCCCUUCUUAGUAUGUCUGUGUAAUCACAGUGGGACGUAGUGAGCUGAAGAGGGUGCAGUGAGAUGUGUUCCAUGAAGAACGUCUCAUGUGGUGAAUAUCAAGAACAAGAAACCAUUGUAAAUUCCGGAAAUAAUUAUUUUGAUUUGUUUCAUGCAAUUAUGCUUCUUCACAUUACAUAUACUAUUUUUUAACAUGUUUGCAAAGGAAAAUUUGUAUUUUGCCGUCUGAAAAACGGGAGAAACGUCAGUUGUUUCUGUCCUAGGGUAGGAAGUGCACACUUUGUCAUCAGGGAGUGAAGUACGGCAAUCUCGUGCAGCUGUGAUGAAAAAUAUUUACUCUUAUUAUCGAUUUUGUUCAAUUAAUUCUGGUAAACUGGCCACCUCUUUUUAACUGAUUCAUCAUCUGCAUUUAAAUCAACACAAGCUUCUUCCACAAAGUUGGGAAAAAAUCGUGAACGUUUUCGUUCUCAUCCCAUAAUUGAAAUCUCUGUAAAAUAAUAUUUUUGCGGUGGAUUGAUGUUAUCAUAGGCAGAUAUUCUCAAAUUUCAAUGCUCGGGAUACCAAUAAGAGUUAUAUACAGCCAAUUUGGUGAGAUCACUUUCCACAAUUACAAUGUCGCCUCCGCAACAGUACACCCCCACUUCCAUCAAGGCACUGGCCAGGCUCAGGAGAAGGACUAGAGCAGAACUUGGUUCUUUGGGAUUCAUGGUUUUGGUCUGAAAUCAUGAUAUGCUUAUUUAAAAAUCUUUGACCAAAAAGGGCAGUAAACGUAAUUGAAAAAAAUGAAUUUUUACAGGUGAAGUUGACAUUUUUUUCUAUAACACUUCAUUCAAUCUAUUACUCACCACAAAGACGUGAAUUCCGAUGAGAGCUAUUAGGCUUAUACUUGAAAGUAGCUGUGGUAAAAGCACUGAUCCAUAUAUUCUAUUCAAUAUACGCAUUAAUCUGUAAUACAUUCUUAAUGAAGGCUUUUGCAUUUUCUCACUGAUUUAGUAAGCCCCCCCUUCGCCUUUUCUGGUUAAUGGACAUGACAACGAAGCUCUACGACUGCCUAAAUACAUGGAAGGCUCGUUUAGGGCUCUCAAACUUAUUGGGUAGAGGAUCAGCGCAUUGGUAGUCACGUACAGGAUUUGCACAUCUUUUAAGACGGAAGUUAAGAAUCUUUAGUUGUGCUCUCAUGUGGAGCAUGAGAGUGAGAAACAGG